rnacentral:rRNA from 1 species
CCUGAACGCUGGCGGCGUGGCUAAGACAUGCAAGUCGUACGGUGUAGCAAUACACAGUGGCGAACGGGUGAGUAAUGAAUCGCUAACGUGCCCCGGACUCAGGGAUAGCCGCUCGAAAGG